rnacentral:rRNA from 1 species
CCUACGGGUGGCAGCAGUGGGGAAUAUUGGACAAUGGGGGGAACCCUGAUCCAGCCAUGCCGCGUGUGUGAAGAAGGCCCUCGGGUUGUAAAGCACUUUCAGUGAGGAAGAACGCCUGGUGGUUAAUACCCAUCAGGAAAGACAUCACUCACAGAAGAAGCACCGGCUAACUCCGUGCCAGCAGCCGCGGUAAUACCGAGGGUGCGAGCGUUAAUCGGAAUUACUGGGCGUAAAGCGCGCGUAGGUGGCUUGAUAAGCCGGUUGUGAAAGCCCCGGGCUCAACCUGGGAACGGCAUCCGGAACUGUCAAGCUAGAGUGCAGGAGAGGAAGGUAGAAUUCCCGGUGUAGCGGUGAAAUGCGUAGAGAUCGGGAGGAAUACCAGUGGCGAAGGCGGCCUUCUGGACUGACACUGACGCUGAGGUGCGAAAGCGUGGGUAGCAAACAGGAUUAGAUACCCUAGUAGUC